rnacentral:tRNA from 1 species
GUCCAGGGUAGCCUAGUGGUCAUGGCAUCUGCUCGGUAAGCGGAAGGUCGUGGGUUCGACUCCCAUCCCUUGACA